rnacentral:rRNA from 1 species
UACGUAGGGUGCAAGCGUUGUCCGGAAUUAUUGGGCGUAAAGAGCUCGUAGGCGGUUUGUCGCGUCUGCUGUGAAAACCCGAGCUCAACCUGGAGUCGCCAUCCGAUACUGCCAUGGCUAGAGUCCGGUAGGGGCCCACGGAAUUCCUGGUGUAGCGGUGAAAUGCGCAGAUAUCAGGAGGAACACCGGUGGCGAAGGCGGUGGGCUGGGCCGGCACUGACGCUGAGGAGCGAAAGCGUGGGGAGCGAACAGG